rnacentral:rRNA from 1 species
UACAGGGGGGGCAAGCGUUGUUCGGAAUUACUGGGCGUAAAGGGUUCGUAGGUGGCUUACUAAGUCAGACGUGAAAUCCCUCAGCUUAACUGGGGAACUGCGUCUGAUACUGGAAAGCUUGAGUCCGGGAGAGGUGAGUGGAACUGCGAGUGUAGAGGUGAAAUUCGUAGAUAUUCGCAAGAACACCAGUGGCGAAGGCGGCUCACUGGCCCGGUACUGACGCUGAGGUGCGAAAGCGUGGGGAGCAAACAGG